GAGAAGACUUGACUUCGUGCGUAUAGGAGAUCCCGUGUAAGAUUGCCUGGGCUUCCGCUUCACUUGCCGAUGAAACCCUAAUCGUUGCAGCGAAGCCCUCGAGAAGUCUUCCCUCCCGAUCGCGAACAAGACCCGCCGCGGAUCCGAGAAAAUCACCGGGACACCACGCCGCGUCAACAUUUAGUUUCAGUUCAUCCCCUUCUGGUGGUCUCCAUCGGUCAGUUUUUGUUUGAUCGGUUGGGUUUUUACUUCCGUUUAUCUUUCCUCGGCUGAAAAGCUCUUGUUGUUCUUUUGCUGUGCUCAACAGAUCUAUGGGACUCGGCUCUUUUGAUCGGAAUAUCCAGGAGUUUCGCGCCUUCCAGAUGUGCCACAGAACCAAUCCCGUGAGUUCUCGACCAGGUAAACCCUGUUCUCGAUGGAAAGCUUUGACAAUCCAACGAUCUGUUCGACUGAUGCUUGUUUCCGGUCUGAUCUUGUCGAAAAUCUGUGCUUCCCAUACUCUCUUCGUCCACUUGCAUAGAAACAACAUAUGUUCUGUGGUUUCAAUAUUCGUCCAACAAAAGGGGCAUAAUGGAUCAGUGACAAUUUUUCGUUUGUAUAGGUUUUCCCUCGUAGGAAGGGCGUUCUGACAUAGACUCCAGAGGAAAGAUCAAACUUUUGGCGGUACAUUUAGGCUCCAAAUUUGAGUCCAUAAGGUACGCGGAGGUUGAUAAGAACAAGAGGGUCUGUUUUGUUCUGGUUUGCCUGUUGUUUCCCGUGCUCUGUUGUAUCCGCUCUUAACAGAGUAAUGCCCUGUUUUGUUGCCUGUCC
rnacentral:lncRNA from 1 species